GUGGGGAAUAUUGGACAAUGGGGGGAACCCUGAUCCAGCCAUGCCGCGUGUGUGAAGAAGGCCUUUUGGUUGUAAAGCACUUUAAGCGAGGAGGAGGCUACCGAGAUUAAUACUCUUGGAUAGUGGAUGUUACUCGCAGAAUAAGCACCGGCUAACUCUGUGCCAGCAGCCGCGGUAAUACAGAGGGUGCAAGCGUUAAUCGGAUUUACUGGGCGUAAAGCGCGCGUAGGUGGCCAAUUAAGUCAAAUGUGAAAUCCCCGAGCUUAACUUGGGAAUUGCAUUCGAUACUGGUUGGCUAGAGUAUGGGAGAGGAUGGUAGAAUUCCAGGUGUAGCGGUGAAAUGCGUAGAGAUCUGGAGGAAUACCGAUGGCGAAGGCAGCCAUCUGGCCUAAUACUGACACUGAGGUGCGAAAGCAUGGGGAGCAAACAGGAUUAGAAACCCCAGUAGUCC
rnacentral:rRNA from 1 species